UGCGUAGGGUGCAAGCGUUAAUCGGAAUUACUGGGCGUAAAGCGUGCGCAGGCGGUUUUGUAAGUCUGUCGUGAAAUCCCCGGGCUCAACCUGGGAAUUGCGAUGGAGACUGCAAGGCUGGAGUCUGGCAGAGGGGGGUAGAAUUCCACGUGUAGCAGUGAAAUGCGUAGAGAUGUGGAGGAACACCGAUGGCGAAGGCAGCCCCCUGGGUCAAGACUGACGCUCAUGCACGAAAGCGUGGGGAGCAAACAGG
rnacentral:rRNA from 1 species